AACUGCAUCCAAAACUGGCAGGCUAGAGUAUGGUAGAGGGUGGUGGAAUUUCCUGUGUAGCGGUGAAAUGCGUAGAUAUAGGAAGGAACACCAGUGGCGAAGGCGACCACCUGGACUGAUACUGACACUGAGGUGCGAAAGCGUGGGGAGCAAACAGGAUUAGAUAUCCUGGUAGUCCACGCCGUAAACGAUGUCAACUAGCCGUUGGGAGCCUUGAGCUCUUAGUGGCGCAGCUAACGCAUUAAGUUGACUGCCUGGGGAGUAUGGCCGCAAGGUUAAAACUCAAAUGAAUUGACGGGGGCCC
rnacentral:rRNA from 1 species